AUUGAACGCUGGCGGUAGGCCUAACACAUGCAAGUCGAACGAGUGGCGGACGGGUGAGUAAUGUCUGGGAAACCGCCUGAUGGAGGGGGAUAACUACUGGAAACGGUAGGUAAUAACGUAAACCCUCAGAUGGGCCCAGAUGGGAUUAGUUUGUGGGUGGGGUAAGGGCUCACCAAGGCGACGAGCCCUAGCUGGUCUGAGAGGAUGACCAGCCACACUGGAACUGAGCCACGGUCCAGACUCCUACGGUAGGCAGCAGUGGGGAAUAUUGCACAAUGGGCGCAAGCCUGAUGCCGCCAUGCCGCGUGUAUGAAGAAGGCCUUCGGGUUGUAAAGUACUUUCAGCGGGGCGGCGUUACCCGCAGAAGAAGCACCGGCUAACUCCGUGCCAGCAGCCGCGGUAAUAC
rnacentral:rRNA from 1 species